NNNNNNNAAUGGCCGCAGUAUUUUGACUGUGCUAAGGUUGCAUAAUCAUUAGUUUUUUAAUUGAAAGCUGGAAUGAAGGGUUGGAUGAAAAAAAGACUAUUUUUAUUUAAUUAUAUUAAAAUUUUAUUUUUAAGUUAAAAAGCUUAAAUUCUAUUAAAAGACGAGAAGACCCUAUAGAGUUUAAUAUAAAUUAAUUUUAAUAAAAUUAGGAUUUAAUUUUUUAUUUUAAAUUUAUAUUUAAUUGGGGUGAUUGAAAAAUUUAUUGAACUUUUUCUUUAUUUUAAUAUAAAUAAAUAAUUUCUUGAUCCAAUAGUUUUGAUUAUAAGAUAAAAUUACCUUAGGGAUAACAGNGUAAUUUUAUUAGAGAGUUCAAAUCGAUAAUAAAGUUUGCGACCUCGAUGUUGGAUUAAAAUUUAUAAUUGGUGUAGAAGCUAAUUAAUUA
rnacentral:rRNA from 1 species